AGAAGUUUAGGUUAAGCACAGACCAGAGGCCUUCAAAGCCCCAAGCAAAUAAUAACUAUUUAACUUCUG
rnacentral:tRNA from 1 species